rnacentral:tRNA from 3 species
GUCUGGAUCGUCUAGAGGCCUAGGACUCGCGCCUUUCACGCGCGCAACACGGGUUCGAAUCCCGUUCCAGAUG